GUUCAGAGGGAGGAGGGAGAAGUACCACACUGUGCUGGUGUCCCCGGCCCUCACUGACAACAUCAGCGCCAACGUUCCAGAGGUAGCAGACAGAUGUGUGUCGUCUCCGUCCUCCCCCUCCAGGAUGCGCAGAAUGGAACGCUCCAGCCUGUCAUGUGACCACAAGUGGCUAAGCUGAGUGUGCCCCACAGUUCCCCUCCAGCCUGACGUCGGUGCCCAGACGACAGAACGCCAUGGCACAGCGGUGGGAGGCGUCUCUGCUGGCCAAUCAGAAGAAAGACUGAGCUGCGGGGAGCCAAUCAGAAGAAAGGGGGACUAUACUUACUCCGCCCACUUUUCCUCAUGUAACCGCUCCUCUCUGUACCAGCAAACAUUGAAGCAAUGGUCAAUGUUAGUGUUGUAUAGACAGUACAACAGGCGGAACAGUGGACCAGGGUAGAGCGUUUUGAUAGGUUUUAUUUGAAGAUGCCUGUAAAACAAACUGAAAACAUCACAAGGCGACAUCCUGUAGCAUUUAGGCUUUAGUUCAUGUAGCACUAAUGGUGCUUUUGAUUAUCGAUCCGUCACCCACUCGGAUCUCAGAUAUGAUGUCACGGCCACACUUCGAGCCUUUAAUAAUGUUUUGUGCACAGCUGGACAUAGCUAAUGCCGUAGCCGUCCCUUUCCGGUUUCCCGAGUUUGACUUGAAGGAAAAUAUGGACGCCAACUGGAAAGCUGUUAUUGUUGUUACUUAUCUUCUGUUAGCAUAGCCUGAUUUAUCAACUGGUUUCACUUCGUUGAAACCCUCUGACCUCGCAGCAUUAGAAUUCGUUCGCUCAACGGUAGGCGAGUACUUUUUUAAAUUUAACCAAUUGCUGCUGUUUGGUCGUGAUGUAUGUAAUGCGCCACUAACGGGGAUAACUGGUAUAUUAAGGUUUUCCCAAAUCCCAUAGAAAAAAGGGCAAUAACGUCUUUCUCCUUGAUAAACUUCACCAAACAUUCUCUUUGUUCCGGCUUUAAAUCCUCGAUCUCGGGAAUCGUUGCCAACACAGAAUAUAUGGCUCUUCGCUGAUUGGCUGGUGCCCGAACUUGCACUUCCGGGGUUUUUGCAAACUGUCUAGUGUAUUCUGAUUCCUGGCCUAGUUGCUGGAGAGAAAUGAAAUUGAGACACUAGGUGGCACCAGCCUGGCUAUUGUUAGCAGCUGUUUAAAACAAGUUUUUGUUAAAUAUUGGCCUCACCACAACACGACUAAGAAAAACCAAAGGCAGA